rnacentral:rRNA from 1 species
CGCGCGUUCCCUCCUACCGGACGCUCGCUCCUGCUUUUCGUUGAGUGGGAGUAUUCUCCCGGGGGUCGAUUCCCCUUCCCUCCUCGUUUCGGCGAGGGGGGAAGAAGGGGCGAUCGGUUCGCAAGAACCCGGUCUUCGGAUCGCUCGGGGUUUCGACGGGGCCGGAAGGUCUCCCGGGGAUUCGUCCCCGGGUCUCCUUUUUCCACCGGUUCCGUUCGGAGCUCCGGUUCGUUUACCUUGAAUAAAUUAGAGUGUUCAAAGCAGGCAAGCACACGCCCAAAUACUUUAGCAUGGGAUAAUAGAAUAGGACUUGGGUUCUAUUUUCGUUGGUUUCUAGGACCGAAGUAAUGAUUAAUAGGGACGGUCGGGGGCAUUAGUAUUUAAUUGUCAGAGGUGAAAUUCUCGGAUUUAGGAAAGACUGACUUCAGCGAAAGCAUUUGCCAAGGACGUUUUCAUUAAUCAAGAACGAAAGUUAGGGGAUCGAAGACGAUCAGAUACCGUCGUAGUCUUAACCAUAAACGAUGCCGACCAGGGAUCGGGAGACGUUACCUCGAUGACUCUCCCGGCACCUUGCGGGAAACCACAAGUCUUUGGGUUCCGGGGGGAGUAUGGUCGCAAGGCUGAAACUUAAAGGAAUUGACGGAAGGGCACCACCAGGAGUGGAGCCUGCGGCUUAAUUUGACUCAACACGGGGAAACUUACCAGGUCCGGACAUAGGAAGGAUUGACAGACUGAUAGCUCUUUCUUGAUUCUAUGGGUGGUGGUGCAUGGCCGUUCUUAGUUGGUGGAGCGAUUUGUCUGGUUAAUUCCGUUAACGAACGAGACCUCGGCCUGCUAAAUAGCCAUGCGAACCUUUCCGCCCCAAAGAGGAUACGGUCGGGGCGGGUCCACGUCGGGAGGGGGUCCCCUUCGCGGGGGGUUCUCUUCCGGCGCCGUCUCGGUCGCCCUCUGGUGAGGUUCGUAGCGGCGCUUCUUAGAGGGACUAUGCAAUCCCAGUGCAUGGAAGUUCGAGGCAAUAACAGGUCUGUGAUGCCCUUUAGAUGUUCUGGGCCGCACGCGCGCUACACUGACAAGCUCAACGAGCGUUCCUUUCCCUCGGCCGGAAGGUCCGGGUAAUCUUCGAAAGCUUGUCGUGCUGGGGAUAGAUCCUUGCAAUUAUGGAUCUUCAACGAGGAAUUCCUAGUAAGCGCGAGUCAUCAGCUCGCGUUGAUUACGUCCCUGCCCUUUGUACACACCGCCCGUCGCUCCUACCGAUUGAACGGUCCGGUGAAGUCUUCGGAGCGAGGCUCACGCUCGGUCGGGGCAACUCGGCCGGGUAGGGUCUCGCAAAGUCGACUAAACCUUAUCGUUUAGAGGAAGGAGAAGUCGUAACAAGGUAUCCGUAGGUGAACCUGCGGAUG